rnacentral:rRNA from 1 species
UACAGAGGUCUCAAGCGUUGUUCGGAAUCACUGGGCGUAAAGGGUGCGUAGGCCGCACGGUAAGUCAGAGGUGAAAUCCCGGAGCUCAACUCCGGAAUGGCCUCCGAUACUGCCGUGCUCGAGGACUGGAGAGGAGUCUGGAAUUCACAGUGGAGCAGUGAAAUGCGUGGAUAUUGUGAGGAACACUAGUGGCGAAGGCGAGACUCUGGACAGUUCCUGACGCUGAGGCACGAAGGUCAGGGGAGCAAACGGG